GUUUAUUUUUAACAAGUUUAGAAAUUUCUAGUUUGUUGGCACCAUUCCUUCUCAACCCCCACUUAUACUAAUUUAUAUAAUCCUUCAUGCUUUCUCCUUACUUUACUAUUUUAACACAUGGAUCUGUCAACUACCACAAAUCGAUAACAAAAUGAGAUGAAGUAUAAAUGAAAACUUUAAGAGGGAUGUGGCUUCAGCUGGAUUUAAAAUUAAGAAUGAGAAAUGCAAUGCGGACCCAAAAAUACUGGUAGGUCUUUGUGUGAUUUCCUGAUAACUAGUGAAUUUGUUAUUAAAAGGUGUAACACUGUGGUUAGUGAGUCUCUUGGGUGGCUAUGUGAAUCAAGUCUUAGAAGACACCUGAAGUUUAAAAAGUUAAAAUUCUGUGUAUCCUCAGGAAUUUAGUCCAGAGGAAAUCCAAUAGUUAAGUAAGUCUUGCUUAUACUUACACUGGC
rnacentral:lncRNA from 1 species